UGGGGAAUAUUGGACAAUGGGCGAAAGCCUGAUCCAGCAAUACCGCGUGAGUGAUGAAGGCCUUAGGGCUGUAAAACUCUUUCAGUGGGGAAGAUAAUGACGGUACCCACAGAAGAAGCACCGGCUAACUCCGUGCCAGCAGCCGCGGUAAUACGGAGGGUGCAAGCGUUGUUCGGAAUUACUGGGCGUAAAGAGUGCGUAGGCGGCUUGGCAAGUUGGGAGUGAAAUCCCGGGGCUCAACCUCGGAAUUGCUCUCAAAACUGCUGAGCUAGAGUAUGGUAGGGGAUAGUGGAAUUCCUAGUGUAGGGGUGAAAUCCGUAGAUAUUAGGAGGAACACCAGAGGCGAAGGCGACUAUCUGGGCCAUUACUGACGCUAAGGUACGAAAGCGUGGGGAGCAAACAGGAUUAGAUACCCAGGUAGUCCCUGAGCGGGCUGGCAAGGCGCAU
rnacentral:rRNA from 1 species